AUGCGACUGAGUCUCAAAGCAUUUGCUUUCAGCCGCAGAGAGAAGAAGCUGCCCAAGAAUGGAAAGGAAGAAAUAUAUCACAUCAUCUGUCUGUCCACAGGCUUUCCUCUGGGCUUAUGGAGAUUUCCUAGGGGUAAUUAUUUCCCAUUGACUAAGACCACAGGACAGUGUGAACACCUAACAAAUAGUCACUUUUUCUGUUGGAUGAAGUAUGAAGGAGACAGUGAGUGUUGAAAGCUUUGCCUCUUUUUGUAAUUUUGUGAUUCGCCUUCAGAGGAUGGGGUGAGGUGAGUCCUAUGGAAAGGAUGGGGGGCAGCAAUUUCCCUUGUGAGCUACAGGCUCGAGGAGUAGGAGAUC
rnacentral:lncRNA from 1 species